rnacentral:tRNA from 1 species
GCAGAGGUGGUUCAGUGGUAGAAUUCUCGCCUCCCAUGAGGGAGACCUGGGUUCGAUUCCUGGCCAGGGCA